UUAAGACCUUAACUUGGAUGGAC
rnacentral:siRNA from 1 species